rnacentral:rRNA from 1 species
CCUACGGGAGGCAGCAGUGAGGAAUAUUGGUCAAUGGACGAGAGUCUGAACCAGCCAAGUAGCGUGAAGGAUGACUGCCCUAUGGGUUGUAAACUUCUUUUAUAUGGGAAUAAAAUGUUCCACGUGUGGGAUUUUGUAUGUACCAUAUGAAUAAGGAUCGGCUAACUCCGUGCCAGCAGCCGCGGUAAUACGGAGGAUCCGAGCGUUAUCCGGAUUUAUUGGGUUUAAAGGGAGCGUAGGUGGAUUGUUAAGUCAGUUGUGAAAGUUUGCGGCUCAACCGUAAAAUUGCAGUUGAAACUGGCAGUCUUGAGGACAGUAGAGGUGGGCGGAAUGCGUGGUGUAGCGGUGAAAUGCUUAGAGAUCACGAAGAACUCCGAUUGCGAAGGCAGUUCACUGGACUGCAACUGACACUGAGGCUCGAAAGUGUGGGUAUCAAACAGGAUUAGAUACCCGUGUAGUC